rnacentral:ncRNA from 2 species
CAUAGACUUUAAGCGCCAGGACCGGCCUUGGCUUAAACAAAAGGCCGGUUGACGAGGUGGAGGUUUAUCGAGCUUUCGGCGGAUGCCUCCCGGCUGGCCACGGCCGUUAGCGGUGUUACAAAACCGGCAGGCAACUGCCGGGACAAAAGCACCAGGUGGCAAAAG